rnacentral:rRNA from 1 species
CCUACGGUGAGCAGCAGUAGGGAAUAUUGCUCAAUGGGCGAAAGUCUGAAGCAGCAACGCCGCGUGGAGGAUGACUGUUUUAGGAUUGGAAAAUCCUUUUGAUAGAGGAGAUAAUGGCGGUAUGUAAGGAAUAAGGACCGGAUAACACCGUGCCAGCAGCGGCGGUAAUACGGAGGGAGCAAGCGUUACUCGGAAUAACUGGGUGUAAAGAGCGCGUAGGCGGGAUAGAAGGUCAGUUGUGAAAUUUUAUGGCUUAACCAUAAAACUGCAUUUGAAACUGUUAGUCUAGAGUAUAGGAGAGGUAGGUGGAAUUCUUGGUGUAGCGGUAAAAUCCGUAGAGAUCACGAGGAAUACUCAUUGCGAAGGCGACCUGCUAGAACACAACUGACGCUGAUGCUCGAAAGUGUGGGUAGCAAACAGGAUUAGAUACCCCUGUAGUC